AUUGAACGCUGGCGGCAGGCCUAACACAUGCAAGUCGAACGAGUGGCGGACGGGUGAGUAAUGUGUGGGAAACUGCCUGAUGGAUGGGGGUAACUACUGGAAACGGUAGCUAAUACCGCAUACCAUCAGAUGUGCCCAGAUGGGAUUAGCUCGUAGGUGGGGUAGCGGCUGACCUAGGCGACGCUCCCUAGCUGGUCUGAGAGGAUGACCAGACACACUGGAACUGAGACACGGUCCAGACUCCUACGGGAGGCAGCAGUGGGGAAUAUGGCACAAUGGGCGCAAGCCUGAAGCAGCCAUGCCGCGUGUAUGAAGAAGGCCUUCGGGGUGUAAAGUACUUUCAGCGGGGAGGCGUUAGCCGCAGAAGAAGCACCGGCUAACUCCGUGCCAGCCGCCGCGGUAAUAC
rnacentral:rRNA from 1 species